UUAAUUGAAACCAAAAAGAGGUAUAUCAUUGUUAAUGAUACAAUUGAAUAAUAAUUCCAAUUAAA
rnacentral:tRNA from 1 species